GAUGAACGCUAGCUACAGGCUUAACACAUGCAAGUCGAGGGGAAACGACAUCGAAAGCUUGCUUUUGAUGGGCGUCGACCGGCGCACGGGUGAGUAACGCGUAUCCAACCUGCCCACCACUUGGGGAUAACCUUGCGAAAGUAAGACUAAUACCCAAUGACGUCUCUAGAAGACAUCUGAAAGAGAUUAAAGAUUUAUCGGUGAUGGAUGGGGAUGCGUCUGAUUAGCUUGUUGGCGGGGUAACGGCCCACCAAGGCGACGAUCAGUAGGGGUUCUGAGAGGAAGGUCCCCCACAUUGGAACUGAGACACGGUCCAAACUCCUACGGGAGGCAGCAGUGAGGAAUAUUGGUCAAUGGACGAGAGUCUGAACCAGCCAAGUAGCGUGCAGGAAGACGGCCCUAUGGGUUGUAAACUGCUUUUAUAAGGGAAUAAAGUGAGUCUCGUGAGACUUUUUGCAUGUACCUUAUGAAUAAGGACCGGCUAAUUCCGUGCCAGCAGCCGCAGUAA
rnacentral:rRNA from 1 species